GGGGCGACCUACGCUGGGAGGAAUCAAGGCGAUCACUUCUACCUACCACCUAAAGAUGAAAUUCCCAACUUUGACUGGGAUAGGCGAAGUAAAGGGCGAUCAGAAAGUGGCUAGGCAAUGCUUUAUCUCAGCCAUGAGGGUUGGAACUUCCGUUCAUUCCGCCCAAUAGCAAUCACAGAAGGCGGGCGAUGACGCGGGGAUAUUGAGAGA
rnacentral:lncRNA from 1 species